rnacentral:rRNA from 1 species
UACGUAGGGCGCAAGCGUUAUCCGGAAUUAUUGGGCGUAAAGAGCUCGUAGGCGGUUUGUCGCGUCUGCCGUGAAAGUCCGGGGCUCAACUCCGGAUCUGCGGUGGGUACGGGCAGACUAGAGUGAUGUAGGGGAGACUGGAAUUCCUGGUGUAGCGGUGAAAUGCGCAGAGAUCGGCAGGAACACCCAGGGGGAAACCAGUCGACUGGGCAUCUACUGACGCUGAGGUGCGAGAGCGUGGGGAGCGAACCGG